CCUACGGGGAGCAGCAGUGAGGAAUAUUGGUCAAUGGACGAGAGUCUGAACCAGCCAAGUAGCGUGAAGGAUGACUGCCCUAUGGGUUGUAAACUUCUUUUAUAUGGGAAUAAAACGUUCCACGUGUGGGAUUUUGUAUGUACCAUAUGAAUAAGGAUCGGCUAACUCCGUGCCAGCAGCCGCGGUAAUACGGAGGAUCCGAGCGUUAUCCGGAUUUAUUGGGUUUAAAGGGAGCGUAGGUGGAUUGUUAAGUCAGUUGUGAAAGUUUGCGGCUCAACCGUAAAAUUGCAGUUGAAACUGGCAGUCUUGAGUACAGUAGAGGUGGGCGGAAUUCGUGGUGUAGCGGUGAAAUGCGUAGAUAUCACGAAGAACUCCGAUUGCGAAGGCAGUUCACUGGACUGCAACUGACACCGAGGCUCGAAAGUGUGGGUAUCAAACAGGAUUAGAUACCCGAGUAGUC
rnacentral:rRNA from 1 species